UACAGAGGGGGCAAGCGUUGUUCGGAAUUACUGGGCGUAAAGGGCGCGUAGGCGGCCUGCUAAGUCGAACGUGAAAUCCCUGGGCUCAACCCAGGAACUGCGUCCGAUACUGGUUGGCUUGAAUCCGGGAGAGGGAUGUGGAAUUCCAGGUGUAGCGGUGAAAUGCGUAGAUAUCUGGAGGAACACCGAUGGCGAAGGCAGGUCUCUGGGCAUUAACUGACGCUGAGGAGCGAAAGCAUGGGGAGCGAACAGG
rnacentral:rRNA from 1 species